rnacentral:rRNA from 1 species
UGGAUCAGUGGCGAACGGGUGAGUAACACGUGAGCAACCUGCCCUGGACUCUGGGAUAAGCGCUGGAAACGGCGUCUAAUACUGGAUAUGAGACGUGAUCGCAUGGUCAACGUUUGGAAAGAUUUUUCGGUCUGGGAUGGGCUCGCGGCCUAUCAGCUUGUUGGUGAGGUAAUGGCUCACCAAGGCGUCGACGGGUAGCCGGCCUGAGAGGGUGACCGGCCACACUGGGACUGAGACACGGCCCAGACUCCUACGGGAGGCAGCAGUGGGGAAUAUUGCACAAUGGGCGGAAGCCUGAUGCAGCAACGCCGCGUGAGGGAUGACGGCCUUCGGGUUGUAAACCUCUUUUAGCAGGGAAGAAGCGAAAGUGACGGUACCUGCAGAAAAAGCGCCGGCUAACUACGUGCCAGCAGCCGCGGUAAUACGUAGGGCGCAAGCGUUAUCCGGAAUUAUUGGGCGUAAAGAGCUCGUAGGCGGUUUGUCGCGUCUGCUGUGAAAUCCCGAGGCUCAACCUCGGGCCUGCAGUGGGUACGGGCAGACUAGAGUGCGGUAGGGGAGAUUGGAAUUCCUGGUGUAGCGGUGGAAUGCGCAGAUAUCAGGAGGAACACCGAUGGCGAAGGCAGAUCUCUGGGCCGUAACUGACGCUGAGGAGCGAAAGGGUGGGGAGCAAACAGGCUUAGAUACCCUGGUAGUCCACCCC